rnacentral:rRNA from 1 species
AGAGUUUGAUCCUGGCUCAGAACGAACGCUGGCGGCGUGCUUAACACAUGCAAGUCGAGUGCGCGUGCCGUAGCAAUACGGUAUGGCGCACGGCGCACGGGUGCGUAACACGUGGGCAAUCUGCCCUCCGGUGGGGAAUAACCCCGCGAAAGCGGGGCUAAUUCCGCAUAACAUUCCCUGGGCUUCGGUUCGGGGAUUCAAAGCAGCAAUGCGCCGGAGGAGGAGCCCGCGCCCGAUUAGCUAGUUGGUGAGGUAAUGGCUCACCAAGGCAAUGAUCGGUAGCUGGUCUGAGAGGAUGGCCAGCCACACUGGAACUGAGACACGGUCCAGACUCCUACGGGAGGCAGCAGUGGGGAAUCUUGCGCAAUGGGCGAAAGCCUGACGCAGCGACGCCGCGUGGGGGAUGAAGCUUUUCGGAGUGUAAACCCCUUUCGACCGGGACGAAUGCCCGCAAGGGAGUGACGGUACCGGUAGAAGAAGCCCCGGCUAACUACGUGCCAGCAGCCGCGGUAAGACGUAGGGGGCCAGCGUUGUUCGGAAUUACUGGGUGUAAAGGGUUCGUA